GCCCUUAUAGCACAGUGGUAGUGCGUUGCACUUGUACUCACAGCUACACAUAAGUUGUGGCUGUGCUGCGACAUGCAAAGGUCCAUCGUUCAAUCCGGUGUGAGGGCA
rnacentral:tRNA from 1 species